rnacentral:tRNA from 1 species
GGGGGAUUAGCUCAGCUGGGAGAGCGCCUGCUUUGCAAGCAGGAGGUCAGCGGUUCGAUCUCGCUAUCCUCCA